CAGAAGGAACGAUCCUACGGGAGGCAGCAGUGGGGAAUUUUGGACAAUGGGCGCAAGCCUGAUCCAGCCAUGCCGCGUGCGGGAAGAAGGCCUUCGGGUUGUAAACCGCUUUUGUCAGGGAAGAAAAGGUUCUGGCUAAUACCUGGGACUCAUGACGGUACCUGAAGAAUAAGCACCGGCUAACUACGUGCCAGCAGCCGCGUAAUAUCACCGAC
rnacentral:rRNA from 1 species